GACGAAGUUUAGGGGUGCCCCACCAACUCAACCGGUCAUUUUGCCGGCAGCGGGGCUGAGAUCAUACCCAUUGAACCUGAUCCGGGUAAUGCCGGCGAAGGGAACAAACGGUCCGCGAACGU
rfam:Hymenobacter roseosalivarius DSM 11622 genome assembly, contig: Hros_Contig00076